AUUGAACGCUGGCGGCAUGCCUUACACAUGCAAGUCGAACGGCAGCGGGGGCUUCGGUCCGCCGGCGAGUGGCGAACGGGUGAGUAAUGUAUCGGAACGUACCAUUCAGUGGGGGAUAACUAUCCGAAAGGAUAGCUAAUACCGCAUAUUCUGUGAGCAGGAAAGCAGGGGAUCGCAAGACCUUGCGCUGAUUGAGCGGCCGAUAUCAGAUUAGCUAGUUGGUGAGGUAACGGCUCACCAAGGCUACGAUCUGUAGCGGGUCUGAGAGGAUGAUCCGCCACACUGGGACUGAGACACGGCCCAGACUCCCACGGGAGGCAGCAGUGGGGAAUUUUGGACAAUGGGCGCAAGCCUGAUCCAGCCAUGCCGCGUGAGUGAAGAAGGCCUUCGGGUUGUAAAGCUCUUUCGGCCGGGAAGAAAUCGCAUCAGCUAAUACCUGGUGUGGAUGACGGUACCGGAAUAAGAAGCACCGGCUAACUACGUGCCAGCCGCCGCUGUAAUAC
rnacentral:rRNA from 1 species